GAACCUAUAACAAUUUAAACGAUCAAAGUUAACUUUAUAGCGAGGUGGAGGAAGAUAAAGAGAAGAGUGAGAUUACCAUGACGUCGUGGUGGAGCUCGUCCGGGAGGCGGGAAACGAGGUUGACGAGAUUGGUGUUAUCGGCGAUGAAUUGUUUGUGGCGUUCGAGCUCCUUCAGCUUCUCUGCAAUCGCGUCCUCCACUCGCUUCACCGCCUUCUUUGCUUCGUCAAAUGGAAACAUCGAAGCGAAUGGUGUGACCGUUCCCUUCGCUGGCUCCUCCAUUGUUGUUUUGGAGAGAGAAGUUCGCGCUGCUCAUGAAGUUUUGGGAGGGAGAAUUUGAGACGUGGGAAAGAAAGGGAAAGCGGAGAGAACAGGGAGGGCUUAGCAGCAGGGGGACUGUUCACUGAAACUCAAAACGCACCGCAUUGCUUGGGACAUUGGCCCCU
rnacentral:misc_RNA from 1 species